UGGUGUGUGAAGAAACUACUGACUGAAGUCCACAAGAAGAUGAUGAUGGAGGAAGAGAAGGACAGAGCAGAGUCUGCAGGAUCCAGAUGUCCGUCUGUGAGGAGUGACCGUUCCAAAGGUCACCCUCUAGCUUUUAGUGCUGAACCUGGACCAACGAGGUAUGAGAACUGAACUCACUGAGUUAACAGAAAUAAUUCUGCACUGACAUUAUAAUUAGUGUUGAUUCUGGUUGAUUUUCUGACUGUGUUUCUGAGCUGAGAGGAAAUGAAAAUGAGUUUGUAACAAAAAUUAGUUUUGUCCAGUUUUCCUGUAAAAAGCUGAACUCUAAUCUAAGAGGAUGUUACUGACAGGAAACAGCUGCAUUAUCUGCAGUCUGUG